ACGGGAGGCAGCAGUGGGGAAUAUUGCACAAUGGGGGAAACCCUGAUGCAGCGACGCCGCGUGAAGGAAGAAGUAUCUCGGUAUGUAAACUUCUAUCAGCAGGGAAGAAAAUGACGGUACCUGACUAAGAAGCCCCGGCUAACUACGUGCCAGCAGCCGCGGUAAUACGUAGGGGGCAAGCGUUAUCCGGAUUUACUGGGUGUAAAGGGAGCGUAGACGGAAUUGCAAGUCUGAUGUGAAAGGCAUGGGCUCAACCCGUGGACUGCAUUGGAAACUGUGAUUCUUGAGUGUCGGAGGGGUAAGCGGAAUUCCUGGUGUAGCGGUGAAAUGCGUAGAUAUCAGGAGGAACACCGGUGGCGAAGGCGGCUUACUGGACGGCAACUGACGUUGAGGCUCGAAGGCGUGGGGAGCAAACAGGAUUAGAUACCCUGGUA
rnacentral:rRNA from 1 species